UGACCUCGGAUCAGGUAGGGAUACCCGCUGAACUUAAGCAUAUCAAUAAGCGGAGGAAAAGAAACCAACAGGGAUUGCCCCAGUAACGGCGAGUGAAGCGGCAAGAGCUCAAAUUUGAAAGCUGGCUCCUUCGGGGUCCGCAUUGUAAUUUGCAGAGGAUGCUUCGGGAGCGGUCCCCAUCUAAGUGCCCUGGAACGGGACGUCAUAGAGGGUGAGAAUCCCGUAUGGGAUGGGGUGUCCGCGCCCGUGUGAAGCUCCUUCGACGAGUCGAGUUGUUUGGGAAUGCAGCUCUAAAUGGGUGGUAAAUUUCAUCUAAAGCUAAAUAUUGGCCGGAGACCGAUAGCGCACAAGUAGAG
rnacentral:ncRNA from 1 species